rnacentral:rRNA from 1 species
UACGUAGGGUGCAAGCGUUAUCCGGAAUGAUUGGGCGUAAAGCGUCUGUAGGUGGUUUGACAAGUCUUCUGUCAAAGAUCAGGGCUUAACCCUGGGCAGGCAGGAGAAACUAUCAGGCUAGAGUUCGGUAGGGGCAGAGGGAAUUCCCGGUGGAGCGAUGAAAUGCGUAGAGAUCGGAAGGAACACCCAAGGCGAAAGCACUCUGCUGGGCCGACACUGACACUGAGAGACGAGAGCUAGGGGAGCAAAUGGG